UCUCCGUUGGUGAACCAGCGGAGGGAUCAUUACUGAGUUUACGCUCUAUAACCCUUUGUGAACAUACCUAUAACUGUUGCUUCGGCGGGUCGGGCUGAUGCUUGGGAUGGCUACUCUGUAGCUACCCUGCAGAUGCCGCCGCCGGUGGGAUUUUAAACUAUUGUCAUGUAUUGUCAUCUGAGAGCCUUAUGAAAAUAAGUCAAAACCUUUAACAACGGAUCUCUUGGUUCUGGCAUCGAUGAAGAACGCAGC
rnacentral:misc_RNA from 1 species